rnacentral:rRNA from 1 species
GAUGGACGCUGGCGGCGUGCCUAAUACAUGCAAGUCGAGCGAACGGACGAGAAGCUUGCUUCUCUGAUGUUAGCGGCGGACGGGUGAGUAACACGUGGAUAACCUACCUAUAAGACUGGGAUAACUUCGGGAAACCGGAGCUAAUACCGGAUAAUAUUUUGAACCGCAUGGUUCAAAAGUGAAAGACGGUCUUGCUGUCACUUAUAGAUGGAUCCGCGCUGCAUUAGCUAGUUGGUAAGGUAACGGCUUACCAAGGCAACGAUGCAUAGCCGACCUGAGAGGGUGAUCGGCCACACUGGAAAUGAGACACGGUCCAGACUCCUACGGGAGGCAGCAGUAGGGAAUCUUCCGCAAUGGGCGAAAGCCUGACGGAGAAACGCCGCGUGAGUGAUGAAGGUCUUCGGAUCGUAAAACUCUGUUAUUAGGGAAGAACAUAUGUGUAAGUAACUGUGCACAUCUUGACGGUACCUAAUCAGAAAGCCACGGCUAACUACGUG